rnacentral:tRNA from 1 species
CAGUGAAUAGUUUAAUAAAAAUGUUAAUUUUGGAGAUUAAUGAUAAAGUAAAGGCUUUUUCUCUGA